AGGAGUGGAGCCUGCGGCUUAAUUUGACUCAACACGGGAAACCUCACCAGGCCCGGACACCGGAAGGAUUGACAGAUUGAGAGCUCUUUCUUGAUUCGGUGGGUGGUGGUGCAUGGCCGUUCUUAGUUGGUGGAGCGAUUUGUCUGGUUAAUUCCGAUAACGAACGAGACUCUAGCCUGCUAAAUAGGCGUCUUUUCGACAUCCUAAAGUCCCGACGGCCUGGCAGGCGGCCCGGUCGUUCGUGGUUCUUACUGUCGGCGUACACAUUAUUCUUCUUAGAGGGACAGGCGGCUUCUAGCCGCACGAGACUGAGCAAUAACAGGUCUGUGAUGCCCUUAGAUGUUCUGGGCCG
rnacentral:rRNA from 1 species